rnacentral:tRNA from 1 species
GCAGCUGUGGCCUACUGGUUAGCGCUUCGGACUUGUCACCGGAGGGUUGCAGGUUCGAACCCUGACCAGUAGGCA